rnacentral:ncRNA from 1 species
CCGACACACUCUGCAAUGGCCUCCGGUCGGUGUUGAUGCAAUGUGAUCUCUGCCCAGUGCUCUGAAUGUCAACGUGAGGAGAUUCAUCAAAGCGCGAAUAAACGGCGGGAGUAACUAUGACUCUCUUGGUGCCCCUUGUUUACGUACCGCCAUACCAGGUAUGGCACUGCAUAGAUUGUUGGCACUGGGCACGUCAUCGCAUCCUGCGUGCGCCGUGGCCUUGCAGCUGCCGCACAUGGUCGACUUGAAAGAUUGACUAGAACGGUCGUUCAUCUUUAAGGGCAAGGUGCUUCGAUCUAGGGGUGCUGUAUCCAGGUUUUGGGCGAGAGAGUGGCACAAGAGUGCAGACGGUGCUGCCCUGAAGGAGUGCUCACGUGUACCGUCUUCGCAGGUGUGGGUUGGAAAAGGUACACGUCCGAUGAAUGGAAAGAGGUUCAUUGAUUUGGUAAAGACGAGGGCAAAUG